AUGAAUGGUCCUGCUACUGUCUCGCGUGCGGUUUCUGUGUCUCUUUUUCUUGGACAGUGUUCUUCUCUCUUACAAUCAUAUUCUGGACAGGCUGCUUGUGCUGUCAAAUUUGAACUAUUUAGUAGGGUUGAUUUCUAUGCCACUAACGCCUACUGCCUUCUCCACCCAUCCAGUGGCAUACAAGACGUCCUUCUCCUCGACGCAGCCGCUCCCAAUGAGCUCUCUUUGCCGGAUGAGGUGCAGCAGCAAGUCCAGCACCCCCUCAGCCCCUGCAUCCUAUCCUACAUUGCCUGGACGAGCUCAUUCAUGGCUGCGUCUUCCUUACCUCCUAGCGUGGUGAUCCUCUCCCAACUUUACCCAAAAUCUGGAUGA
rnacentral:rRNA from 1 species